AAAACCUCAACCCAUAAUUUAUUAUGAGUUGGUUCUGCAUUGGACUUCUUGUAGGUCCUUUGCGAAAUUCAAUGGCGAAGAGCCACGCAGCCAAAGCGUAGUAUAAUAAUCUCGUUAUGGAAGCGUGGGUACCUCUGCCGUAACCCCUCAAUUUCUUAGU
rnacentral:misc_RNA from 1 species